GGUUCAGUGGCCUAGUGGUGAGGCAUCUGUCCGGUAACCACGAGACCCGGUUUCAAAUCCCGGCUGAGCCA
rnacentral:tRNA from 1 species